rnacentral:rRNA from 1 species
GACGAACGCUGGCGGCGUGCUUAACACAUGCAAGUCGAACGGGCCCGCUCUCUUUUUUGGGGGUGGGUUGAGUGGCGAACGGGUGAGUAUCACGUGAAUAACCUGCCCCCUGCUCCUGGAUAACUGCUUGAAAGGGCGGCUAAUACGGGGUGUGCCGGCUGGUCCGCAUGGGCCUGGUCGGGAUAGUUUCAUCUUCGGGUGUUUCGGUGGGGGAUGGGCUCGCGGCCUAUCAGCUUGUUGGUGGGGUGAUGGCCCACCAAGGCGGUGACGGGUAGCCGGCCUGAGAGGGUGGGCGGCCACACUGGGACUGAGACACGGCCCAGACUCCUGCGGGAGGCAGCAGUGGGGGGUAUUGCACAAUGGGCGGAAGCCUGAUGCAGCGACGUCGCGUGAGGGAUGGAGGCCUUCGGGUUGUGAACCUCUUUCUCCGGUGGUGAAGGCCCUGUCCGUUGCGGCGGGGUUGACGGUAGCCGGGUAUGAAGCGCCGGCUAACUACGUG